rnacentral:rRNA from 1 species
GUGGGGAAUAUUGGACAAUUGGCGAAAGCCUGAUCCAGCCAUGCCGCGUGUGUGAAGAAGGUCUUCGGAUUGUAAAGCACUUUAAGUUGGGAGGAAGGGCAGUAAGUUAAUACCUUGCUGUUUUGACGUUACCGACAGAAUAAGCACCGGCUAACUUCGUGCCAGCAGCCGCGGUAAUACGAAGGGUGCAAGCGUUAAUCGGAAUUACUGGACGUAAAGCGCGCGUAGGUGGUUUUGUAAGUUAGAGGUGAAAUCCCCGGGCUCAACCUGGGAACUGCCUCCAAAACUGCAUGACUAGAGUACGGUAGAGGGUAGUGGAAUUUCCUGUGUAGCGGUGAAAUGCGUAGAUAUAGGAAGGAACACCAGUGGCGAAGGCGACUACCUGGACUGAUACUGACACUGAGGUGCGAAAGCGUGGGGAGCAAACAGGAUUAGAAACCCGGGUAGUCC